UUGUGCACUCAAAACACCUUGAUACUCUUUAGUUCACAACCCUCAACGCCACCCAACUCGUCCUCGGCCCCCUCGACGGUGAGUGGGGAGGGCGGCGCCGAUGGCUCCCGCAGAGGCGCCGCAGCAAGGAGACAACGAGAUCGUCCACGUUUUCUGGGACGAUCGGAUGCUGGCCCAUGACACCGGCAUGGGCGUCUUCGACACGCUCUUCGAUCCUGGGUUCUUGGAAGUGCUCGAGCCGCAUCCGGAGAACGCCGAUCGAGUGAGGAACAUGGUCUCCAUCCUCAAAAGGGGUCCCAUCCACCGCUUCGUUUCAUGGUACGAGGGAAGACCUGCCCUCAUACCUGAGUUACUUUCGUUCCACACCCCUGGCUACAUUAAGGAGCUGCAGGAUGCAGAUGCAGCUGGUGGCAGGGAACUCUGUGCAGGCACGAUGCUCAGACCUGGUUCAUUUGAUGCUGCACUUGUUGCUGCUGGAACGACACUUUCAGCAAUGCAUCACAUACUGGAUGGACAUGGAAAGAUUGCAUAUGCAUUAGUGCGUCCACCUGGUCAUCAUGCUCAGCCAACACAAGCUGAUGGCUAUUGCUUUCUGAAUAAUGCGGGGCUUGCAAUUAAGCUGGCUCUAAGUUCUGGUUGCAAACGCGUAGCAGUAGUGGACAUUGACGUCCAUUGUGGAAAUGGAACUACAGAGGGGUUCUAUAACUCGAAUGACGUCCUCACCAUAUCCCUUCAUAUGAACCAUGGGUCAUGGGGACCAUCCCAUCCUCAAAGUGGUUCCAUUGACGAAUUAGGUGAAGGUAGGGGCUUGGGCUUUAACUUGAACAUACCCUUGCCAAAUGGAACCGGAGACAAGGGCUAUGAGUAUGCAAUGAUGGAAUUGGUUACUCCAGCUGUUACCAAAUUUGAUCCAGAUAUGGUAGUGAUGGUUAUUGGGCAAGAUUCUAGCGCGGGCAUGAAGGUAAUUUGAAUUUGUGCAAGAGCGAAAAAGUAAAAAGCUGCUGCUUCUGGUUGUAGCUUCACACUGAGCUGCUUGAUGGUAAUGUUGAUAGGUGGAUCAUGGAUGAAAGCAAGCUUUAUUAAGAGGUGAAAUGACUGCAGGGUGAGGAUAUGCUGCUUUUGCAGUCAUGACAGGAAUUCCAGAAUUGUCAUAGAAUGCUGCUGGCCGACAAUCUUGGCAUCGGCUUUGAGAUCAUUACUUUUGCUUGGAGAAUAAUAGAGAGAAUACAGCCUCGGAUGAGGAGGAUUGUUACUAUGUCAGGAGGCGCAGAAAAUGAAGUUUCUGGCUAUGAAGAAGUUCAAUGACUUGUAGCUCCCCUAUCAUUUCCUUGUCUGGUCAUGAAGAUCUUUUUUAAGGCCACGAGGUUCCUGUGACAACAUUGUAAAAAGCUCAAGUAAAUCUUUCAUAAUUUGCUGCGAGAUCCCACCACUCCAGGUACUCAAUCGGAAAAUUGGGCCUUAAAUGGGAACAUGCUUAGUUGUAUUCUGCUAUGCCACAGUGACAGAAGAAUGACAUAGUUUCAGACAAUGAGGCUUGACACAUAUUACUACCCAAAUGGGAGUAGCAGCUGUUUGACCAAAAAAGGAUGAAGUUCGAUGGUUUGAUUGAUACUAGACAUUAAACACAGUAGUUCGAUGCUGCUGGGACAGCCUGGGAGGUGAUACAGAAGGCAAGGCAGCCAUAAUGAUGGAAGGGUGACACAGUUUAAACAAAUGACGUUUAUCACAAAUUGCGAACCAAUUGAAAAUGUCAUCAAUUUCACAUCAUCUUCUGUGCAACACAUUCUACUCUGGAGUUUAAAUUAAUUACUCAAGAAUUUGAUCCCAACGGUCGACAGUGCCUAACAAUGGCCGGCUAUAGGAGAAUCGGUGAAAUCCUGCGCGACCUGGCAAAUGUGCACUCAAAGGGACGAAUGUUGAUUGUUCAGGAGGGAGGAUACCACGUGACAUACUCGGC